ensembl:antisense Gm15564 predicted gene 15564
CUUCUCCACUAAGAGUGUGCUUGUUUACAUGGAAGCUGAAUUUGAGCAAAGCAGCUUGGGAGAAAGUGUUCUAUCAGAGAGACUUAGGGGUUAGUGUUGCCAAUUUGACCCAAGCUAGAAUCCUCUGGAAAGAGGGGACCUCAAUUGAGAAAAUGCUUCCAGGAGAUACAGUUUUAAGGAAUUUUCUUAAUUAGUGAUUGCUAGGGAAGGGCUCAGCCCAUUGUGGAUGGUACCAUCACUGGGCUGGUGGUUCUGGAUUCUAUAAGAAAGAAGUGUACUAAGCCAGGAGGAGCAAGCCAGUAAGCAGCAUCCCUCCAUGGCCUCUGUAUCAACCCGCUGGAGUUCCUGUCCUGGCUUCCUUCAAUGACUGCCUGACCAUAGCUGAGCUGAUAUCUGAUCAUUAUAUUCUGCUCAGGAGAGGGCAUCAGAUACUACAACCUGGCCAUCAGCCCCCCCCCCCAUGCCUGCUUUCUCUCCGUGGACCCCACUUUUCUGUCUCCUCCUCUGCACAGCAUCUCAAUGAAUUAGCCUGAGAGCUGUACCCA